CCCAGCGUGCCCCCCCCCCCCAUUUUGGCCUCCGACUGGGAGCAAUUUGGAGGGGAGUUAGGUCUAUUGUUGCCGGCAGGACUCUGAUAUCUAGGCGGGGGGAUGCCUUAAAACUUUUGGAGGGAACUGGCAGUGGGAUUUGGCGGGGAGAGAGACACUGGUUUCCCACUCGGCUUGCUCCCCUAACUUCCCUCCUUCAACCCUUAAACUUUUCUCUUUGUGGCAGUCUUUCUCUGUCCCUGAGCUCCUUGCUGUACCCGCCCACUAUCUUUCGUUCUCGGCCCCUGAGAGCCCUUGCAUUGGAUAAAUGCAGUUAUUUCACAGAUUCUGGAAGUUGGCGCCAGUCUCCAGUUAAAGCUGCGAAGCUUAAGGGCCUUCGUAACAAAAGGAACUUCCAAGGGUGUCCGGAAAUAGAAUUGUGCUCAUUGCCUUCCAACCACUCCUGCUGCCGUCGCAGCACCGGCUCUGGGCCCGGUCUCCCAGCUCCCUUUGACUAAGCAGGCCAAUACCAAAUAAGGUGUCGGACUAUAUGCCCUGCCCUGUGUGUGUGCGAUCCAGACCCAGGCUUUGUCUGCCAGGAGCCUGGAAAUGUUGGCCACGGUUACUAAAUCGGGUUAGUCUAGCAUUGAUUCGGAUUGUCUUUCGAACUAUCAUCAGAUAAAUGUGCUAGUUAUAGAUUUAAGUAGUGUAGAAGGUCUUUACAUCUUAAGCAAUUUUAUUUAAAAUUCUAGAGAUCCAUGGAAUUUUUGUUUAUUCAUUAAAAGAUCUAUAAACAACAUUUUAUACAAAUCUUGAGCAACUCUUUUUACAAAUAUGUCCAGAAUUCGUUAUACUUUACAAAAACAAAAUAAAACAGACCUAAGAAAAGGAAGUAGCUUCAGGUCACAGGGAUAAAAUAAGACCUCAAUCCCUGAUACAAAGGUCUCCUCACAGAGGGACGGUCAGUGUUCACCACCGUAAUACCUCCUACCCCUAUUUUAUAAACAAUUCCCAAUUACUGAUUUUCCUUCAGGGUUGGGGUGGCAAAUGGGGAGAUGUCUGCUAAGAGCCCCACUGGGGUUAGCUGCUUAAUAAACAUUUUACAAAAGA